CCUACGGGAGGCAGCAGUGGGGAAUCUUGCGCAAUGCGCGAAAGCGUGACGCAGCGACGCCGCGUGGGUGAAGAAGGCUUUCGGGUCGUAAAGCCCUUUCAGCGGGGACGAAGCUUCGGCAGCGAAUAGCUGUCCGGAGUGACGGUACCUGCAGAAGAAGCCCCGGCUAACUACGUGCCAGCAGCCGCGGUAAUACGUAGGGGGCUAGCGUUGUCCGGAAUCAUUGGGCGUAAAGAGCGCGUAGGCUGCCAGAUAAGUCCGGUGUGAAAGUCACAGGCUCAACCUGUGAAUGCCGCUGGAAACUGUCUGGCUAGAGUCCGGAAGGGGCGAGUGGAAUUCCUGGUGUAGCGGUGAAAUGCGCAGAUAUCAGGAGGAACACCAAUGGCGAAGGCAGCUCGCUGGGACGGUACUGACGCUGAGGCGCGAAAGCGUGGGGAGCAAACAGGAUUAGAUACCCUGGUAGUCCACGCCGUAAACGAUGGGCACUAGGUGUCGGAGGUGUCGACUCCUCCGGUGCCAAAGCUAACGCAUUAAGUGCCCCGCCUGGGGAGUACGGCCGCAAGGCUAAAACUCAAAGGAAUUGACGG
rnacentral:rRNA from 1 species